GCUCUUGUCUGUGUCCAGGGCACGGUUCGCAGGACUUGCUGGGAGCGACACCCUGCUGUGCAGUACAGCUGCCCGGCUGCAGAUCCCUGGGAGCGUCCAGCCCUUUCCUAAUCAGAGCUUUCAGGUGCUUUUGACCUGAGGCCCGUAGACGUGAGGUUUAUGGGAGGAGAAGAGCAGACGGCCUUCCAUGGAGUUUUUAACCCGCAUUUCUGCCCCACUCUUUGGAGAUAAAUGAGUAAGUACAUGCCCAGCUAUUUCCUUGCUACCUCAGCUCAACUCUCCUGGGCUUUCUCCAUUGACCAUGAAAAGAAGAUCCUCCAGUUACUGGUCCCAGAGUGUGAGCCCUGUGAAACAGACCUGAAAGUAACCUGCAGUCAGGAGCAAAGCCUUCCUGCUGACUACAGACCCGUCUGGAAAUGUUAGUUCAGAGAAGUUAAGCAGCCUGUUCAAGUUCAUAUAGCCAGGCAGAUUGAAGACACAAAUGUGGGCAGCCUGAUUCCCAAGCCUGAGCAUUGAAUAACAAUGUCCCAAAAGUCAGCACAUAAACUUGGAAUAAAACGAAUACAUCAGG